rnacentral:tRNA from 1 species
UGUGUUUGGAAUAUCAAAAUGUAGCUUAAUAGCUUAAAGCAUUCGGCCUACACCCGAAAGAUUUCACUUAGUGAACAUUUUGA